CGUAAAAAACUGAACCGAACUGAAAGUAAUACAUAGUAAAUAAAUUUGUAGUUGGCGACACUUGGCUUCUCUAGCUACGCUAGUUCUCUAGUCAGUCCCCCAUGGGUGUUUGAAUCUUAAAACCAAUUCGUCGCACAUAUCUUUCUAUUUGCGCGCAGUUCUCGUUUCGUUUGUCGAAUUUGUUGGCUGCCGGUCUGCCGGGCAACAGAGCUCCAGCCGGCGGCAGCGGCUCCAGCAACACUGGCGGCAACCGCGAUGGCGACGGUAACGCAGACGGCGACGGCGACUGGCGGCCGAAGUCAACUAAACAACCAACAGCAGCCAUAACAACAACAAAAGCAAUAACACCAGCAGCAACAGCAACAAUAACAGUCAUAACGACACAGCCCCCACCGGCGAAAUAACCGCGUCCAUCCUUGGCGACGACGCACUGCCAAAGGAGCCCUUCGAGCAGCCUUCUCUGGUCCCAAUACAGUGAGACAAAUGCAAUAUAAAAUGCACAAGGAAUAUUAAGGAAUUUGGAAAUAACAAAAUACCUAUUAACAUAUAAAUUACUUCAUGUACAGUAAUUACAUACACAUAUAUAUGUAUGUACAAUUAUAUUAGAUACAAACUCAAGUUUAUCUAUUAAACAAAUAAGGUGUGAGCCACUGUACGUAUUACAUCAAAGAUGCAUUACCCCAAAGACAAAAGAUUCUGUUUAGAUUAACAAAGCGGACGUUGCAGUAUAUGCCAAGCAGGUGUCAAAUUAUUUUCUUAUAAUCAAGAAUCAAGUAAAAAAUAAUUUUUUAAGAAAUACAUACCAUACCAAUGCGAUUGAUGUCACUGUGCCGCCGUCGGAGCAUUUUGGCGAGACACCACAAAGAAAAAUGUCGCCGCGUCAAAGACUUAAUCAUGCACAACCCGAAUGUAAGAAUUGGCGGUUGAUCUUAGACAGUGUGUACUCACGUAAAUUGGAAGAUAGAAGAAGGCGCCAAAAUGCGUAACAAGUGGCGGCAGCAUCGGAAGUUGUUUCGGUUUAUUCAGUAUCAACGACGGCGACGACGGCGGCGACCACGACGAAAACACAACAGACAGAGGACGCCAAGCAUCGUCGGCGACGACCAGCACGACGACAACUUGUCGGCAUCAUUUUACUUCUCAAUGAAGUGAACGUCCCCCGAAACUCACACAAUACACGCAAACAUUGAAGCGACGACACCCAGUAUGCAGCAGCCACAGCUGGAUGAGGCGGCUAGCAAUUGUGGCGACGAAUCCCCCCGUCGCAUUGCCCUCACGUCGCGACAGUGAGUGUGAAAAUGGCACGACCUACAGCCAGCCAGUAAACACACGCACACUCACACACACACACACACACACACACACACACACAUAAUCUAACUUGUAAGCAUGCAGGACAAAACGGAUGCGGACACUCGUUUAAAACGUUGAAUACGACGCACAACUUUGAUUUGCAAACUGAGAAACACAGAGACAGUCGGGCAACGUGCUCUCGCGAAUUGGGCGCCAUUAUUGCUGCCAUUGUCGCGACCAAAUGCCGCUGUUCUCCCAAUUAGAAGCUGAAAUAGUCGUCGCGUCGAUGAUGGUGACGAGUUAUGUUUAAACUUCCGCUGGCAUUUUGAUGAUGAUACAGACGGCAAGUGCCAACAUUUUUAUGCGGGUCCGUCCUUUUAACAUUAGUUGAAAUCUAUGCUAAUUAGAAGCAGUCAAAGCAUACAAUGAUGUGCUAAAGGAUCUAAAGAAUUCAUGGUAGUAUAAACUUGUCAAUGGGUUAAUAAACAGGGAUUUUUCACUAUUUCAAAUUAUCGCACAUAGCGUAGAUUGAGCAAAAUUUAAAAAAAAAAAAAAACCCAAAGUAA